GAUCUAAAAUGUUUUUGUAACAAGUAGAGAAAAGUCUCUCUCUCUCUCCUCUUCUAGUUUACUUAUAGUCGGGAGGUUGUGAGUCUAGGCUCAUAAGACCAUCUCCAUCGGGAGGCCUUAGUAAGGGUCUCUUAAAAAAUGGUAAGAACCCCAUACGUGUCUAUUUCGUAGUGGAUAAUGCCUUUUAGGCGAAAAGGAUGAAAAAAAUUUGUGGUCGAUGUUUCCGAAGUUCUUUUGCAAGAAAAAUCGAAUCGUCCUUUGGAAAGAGAGAGAGAGAGAAGAGACGAUUGGAUCAAAGCGAAAAGAAGAAGAUGAGUUCUGAUUUGUAUCCGAAGGAGUUUACAGCAGCGACAGGUGCACGAGCAAGUACAGUUGGUGGAGACUGUUUAUAGUCGCCGGAGCUGCGGCGAUAGCGGUGUCUGUUUUGGUGAUUGGACACGCGGCGGAUAUAGGGUGGGCGUGUAGGGAUGGAGAAGGGAAGGGGAUGAUAAAGCCUGAGGGCGAUUGUGGCGUUGGGUUCGUGGUGUUGGUAUGGAGGAAAACGAUGUCGGAUCAGAGCCAGGAGCUGAAGGACGAGGAUGAGGAUGUGGAUUUGGGAUCUGAGAUGAGUAGAGUCUCUGUCUUCUUUGGUACUUAGACUGGAACCACUGAAGGGUUUGCUAAGGUACUCUUGCUUUUGGGGUUCUUACAGAACCGGUGGGCAGAGAUGUUUGAGUGUAUUGUAGCUGCUGCAUCAACCGUUGAAGUGAUAUCUAACGGUAGUGGUGGAUCUAGAAACGGCUCUCUUCAAUUGAUGCAAGCAGAGUUUCAAGUGAUGUCUCCAUUGUUUCCAAUCAGACAAGUAAAGUUUCUUAGAUAUUGCAAGCAACAUGGAGAUGGUUUAUGGGCGGUCGUGGAUAUUUCUUAUGAUGUAAACAGAGAAAGUCAGGACUUGAAGUCUUAUGGUGGCUUAAAGAGGCUUCCCUCAGGAUGCAUCAUACAAGACAUAGGCAAUGAUGGUUGCUCCAAAGUAACCCGUUAAUUUUCUUUCAACUUUUAGGACAUUUUUCUAAGGUGUGAGAGUUAGUUGUAACUUGGAUUUGUGUGCGUUUCUUUAUUGAAUUGCUUACCUGAACUCGGUAUGAGAGUCAGAGGUUGCUCUUGUCUCUCUUUAUUGAUACUAGAGAUUUUUCCGGACUUCUCGUAUAUACUAAAUAAAUUUUGAUAUAUAAUAUUAUUCGAAUAUUUAAAUGUAAAAUAUUAUUUAUUUCUUUGUUCA